AGCAGCCGCGGUAAUUCCAGCUCCAAUAGCGUAUAUUAAAGUUGUUGCAGUUAAAAAGCUCGUAGUUGAAUUUCGGGAUUAAAUUGUUGGUCGUGCUUCGGUACGCACUGGCAUUAUUGGUUCCUACCUUCUGAAGAACCGCGAUGUCAUUAACUUGGUGUCGUGGGGAAUCAGGACUGUUACUUUUGAAAAAUUAGAGUGUUUAAAGCAGGUGCACGCUUGAAUACAUUAGCAUGGAAUAAUGAAAUAGGACGUUUUGAUUCUAUUUUGUUGGUUUCUAGGAUCGACGUAAUGAUUAAUAGGGAUAGUUGGGGGCAUUAGUAUUCAAUUGUCAGAGGUGAAAUUCUUGGAUUUAUUGAAGACUAACUACUGCGAAAGCAUUUGCCAAGGAUGUUUUCAUUAAUCAAGAACGAAAGUUAGGGGAUCGAAGACGAUCAGAUACCGUCGUAGUCUUAACCAUAAACUAUGCCGACUAGGGAUCGGGAUGAUGUUAAUUUUUUAAUGUACUCAUUCGGCGCCU
rnacentral:rRNA from 1 species